AACGCUGGCGGCGUGCUUCAUACAUGCAAGUCGAACGAUAAGGGCCCCUUCGGGGGUACAUAAGUGGCGGACGGGUGAGUAAAAUGUAGAGAAUCUGCCCUUAAGCGGGGGACAACAGAGGGAAACUUCUGCUAAUACCCCAUAUGAGCGUAUCUGAAAUGGUAUUCUUGAAAACUCCGGUGCUUAAGGAUGAGUCUGCAUCUGAUUAGCUAGUUGGGGGUGUAAUGGACCACCAAGGCGACGAUCAGUAGCUGGUUUGAGAGGAUGAUCAGCCACAAUGGGACUGAGACACGGCCCAUACUCCUACGGGAGGCAGCAGUAGGGAAUUUUGCGCAAUGGGGGAAACCCUGAACCGCAGCAACGCCGCGUGACCGAUGAAGCCCUUCGGGGUGUAAAGGUCUGUCAGUGGGGACGAAACUUGACGGUACCCACAGAGGAAGCAUCGGCUAACUCCGUGCCAGCCGCCGC
rnacentral:rRNA from 1 species